rnacentral:rRNA from 1 species
GACAAACGCUGGCGGCGUGCUUAACACAUGCAAGUCGAACGGAAAGGCCCUGCUUUUGUGGGGUGCUCGAGUGGCGAACGGGUGAGUAACACGUGAGUAACCUGCCCUUGACUUUGGGAUAACUUCAGGAAACUGGGGCUAAUACCGGAUAGGAGCUCCUGCUGCAUGGUGGGGGUUGGAAAGUUUCGGCGGUUGGGGAUGGACUCGCGGCUUAUCAGCUUGUUGGUGGGGUAGUGGCUUACCAAGGCUUUGACGGGUAGCCGGCCUGAGAGGGUGACCGGCCACAUUGGGACUGAGAUACGGCCCAAACUCCUACGGGAGGCAGCAGUGGGGAAUAUUGCACAAUGGGCGGAAGCCUGAUGCAGCAACGCCGCGUGCGGGAUGACGGCCUUCGGGUUGUAAACCGCUUUCGCCUGUGACGAAGCGUGAGUGACGGUAAUGGGUAAAGAAGCACCGGCUAACUACGUG